rnacentral:hammerhead_ribozyme from 1 species
ACCCAACUGACGAGUCCCAAAUAGGACGAAAUACGUAUUCUGUCAU